AACGAACGCUGGCGGCAUGCCUAACACAUGCAAGUCGAACGAGAAGUUCGGGUCUAGUGGAGAACGGGGGCGUAACGCGUGGGAACAUGCCAGUAAGUUCGGAAUAACUCCCCGAAAGGGGUGCUAAUACCGGAUAAUGUCUUCAGAUGUACGCUUUUUCGCCUUUGGAGGGGCGCGCGUUGGUUUAGCUAGGUGGUAUGGUAUAAGCCGACCACGGCGACGAGCCAUAGCUGGUCGGUGAGGAGGCUCAGCCAGACUGGGACUGGGCCACGGCCCAUACUGCUACGGGAGGCAGCAGUGGGGGAUAUUGGACAGCGAGCCAGAUCCAGAUCCGCCGCGGGCGCGUGAGCGAUCAAGGCGUUAUGGUCCGAAAUCUCUUUUAACCGGGAUUAUAGUGACGGUACCUGCAGAAUAAGCACCGGCUAACUCCGUG
rnacentral:rRNA from 1 species